AACGAACGCUGGCGGCGCGCCUAAUACAUGCAAGUCGAGCGAGAAGACGUAGCAAUACGUUUGUAAAGCGGCGAACGGGUGAGGAAUACAUGGGUAACCUACCCUCGAGUGGGGAAUAACUAGCCGAAGGUUAGCUAAUACCGCGUACGCUCCUUGGACUUCGGUUCAGGGAGGAAAGCGAUACCGUGGGUAUCGCGCUCUUGGAUGGGCUCAUGUCCUAUCAGCUUGUUGGUGAGGAACGGCUCACCAAGGCUUCGACGGGUAGCUGGUCUGAGAGGACGAUCAGCCACACUGGCACUGCGACACGGGCCAGACUCCUACGGGAGGCAGCAGUAAGGAAUACUGCGCAAUGGGCGAAAGCCUGACGCAGCGACGCCGCGUGGGGGA
rnacentral:rRNA from 1 species